rnacentral:piRNA from 1 species
UGGAUAUCACAUGUUCUAUUGUGUUCAUUU